rnacentral:rRNA from 1 species
UAAUACGAGAGGUGCAAGCGUUGUUCGGAAUGACUGGGCGUAAAGCGCACGUAGGCGGAUUCGCAAGUAGGAUGUGAAAGCCCCAGGCUCAACCUGGGAAUGGCACCCUAAACUACGGAUCUUGAAUGCUCGAGAGGUUGGUGGAAUUCCAGGUGUAGGAGUGAAAUCCGUAGAUAUCUGGAGGAAUAUCGGAGGCGAAGGCGGCCAACUGGUGAUGCAUUGACGCUAAGGUGCGAAAGCGUGGGGAGCAAACAGGAUUAGAUACCCUGGUAGUCCACGCCGUAAACUAUGGAUACUAGGUGUUUGGGACAUUAACCUCCUGAGUACCAAAGCUAACGCGUUAAGUAUCCCGCCUGGGGAGUACGGUCGCAAGGCUA